GAUUAUAUUCAAUGCACAUUUAGGAGUGAUUUUAACGAGACAAGUGUCCCUUAAUGAUUUUGCUUCAGCUUCUUCGACAGAAAAUACAGGAACAAACGCACACACCAAAGCUACAACCAUAAAUAGCACAGUAAC
rnacentral:sRNA from 1 species